GAGAUGUGUGAUGACGCAUAUCAAUAAGCGGAGGAAAAGAAACUAACAAGGAUUCCCUUAGUAACGGCGAGUGAAGCGGGAAGAGCUCAAAUUUGAAAGUCUUCAAGGUUCUACCUUGACGAAUUGUAGUUUAUAGAAGUGUUUUCUGUUAGUAGAGUGGCAAAAGUUCUUUGGAAUAGGACAUCAUAGAGGGUGAGAAUCCCGUAUUUGUACCAUUCUUUCUAGCUGUGUGAUACACUUUCAACGAGUCGGAUUGUUUGGGAAUGCAGUCCAAAAUGGGUGGUAAAUUUCAUCUAAAGCUAAAUAUUGGCGAAGAGACCGAUAGCGAACAAGUACCGUGAGGGAAAGAUGAAAAGAACUUUGAAAAGAGAGUUAAACAGUACGUGAAAUUGUCAAAAGGGAAGCGUUUGACACCAGUGUUGUUUUUCCGAAAAUCAAUUACGAAUGUUUUAGUUUUUGAGGAGUUAUGACUUCAUCGGCUUGCUUCCUUUCUUUAUGAAACUUUCUUAAUGCACUUUUCGGUUAACAAGUCAACAUCAAUUUCUUUUGUUGUAAAAGGGUAUGAGGAAGGUGGCUUUCUUUUCGGAGAAAGUGUUUAUAGCCUUGUACCUCUGCAAUCGGAGAGAUUGAGGUCUGCAGCGUAGAUCCUUCGGGGUUAGAUACAUUUGUGCUAAGUUAUAGCUUUUCAUAGACAACUUGUUGACUAUGUUUAGUCUUGUAGCUUACUCGCUUAUGCUAUUUUACCUACGCUUAGGAUGUUGAAGAUGUAGCACAUCAU
rnacentral:rRNA from 1 species